rnacentral:tRNA from 1 species
UCCCUGGUAGUAUAUCGGCUAGUACACCCGCCUGUCAUCUGUUCAGGUGCGCGGGAGAGCGGGGUUCGACUCCCCGCCAAGGAG